UACGGGAAAUACAAACAUCUAAAAAUUUGUGAUUGGUAAUCUUGAAGAGAAGAUACCACUUGUGACACAUUGGCGUAAAAGGAAGGAUAAUAUUAAAAUGUUUUUAAGGAUUUAUAUUAUGUGAGAUGAGGUCAACUACCGACUUUUGUGAAUAAGGUAAUGAAUCUUGUGGCUCUAUAAAGUUCAAAUAUAUCGUGGUCAGUUCUCAGAGUUGCAAAUAUCAAGAAGGGGCCCGCUUAAUGGGGUUAGAAUAAGUUCCCUUUGGCUGUUUUUUAUAUUCUGUGACCAAUUUACGGAAUGUGUGUGUGUACAGGAGGACAGAACGAGACAUCAGACGAGCUCAGUACCGAAAGGUAUGACCCUGCAGAAGACACGUGGACCGAAAUCCCUGCAAUGAACUUGAAUUCAUAUGACUUAAACGUAGAAGUCAUCGACGAUAUGAUCUUCGUCAUCUGUGAUUAUGAUAAAUAUGGCAUCUUCCCCCGUGUCGCAUGUUUCAAUGACAAGGAAAAUCGAUGGCAAUUGUCUUAUGUUAGCACCACUAAGCUCUGGAGCAUGUGAAAUCAGUAAGUGGAGCUAAAUGCACAGAGAAGGGAGUGUCAGAUGGAGGAAAGUUCUCAACACCAAAACUGAAAUGCGCACAAUGAGACUGGGUGGAUACAAGAGCUGAACUGAAUGGACCCUGCUGGGGAUCAAACCCACCGUUCAGUCGAUAGUCAGACAGAACUUUCAAUAGUCUACCUCAGCUCACCAAGUCAGCAUGUUCUCUGAAUCCUAUUAUAAAGCAAAAUGGAAAAUACUGAAAAUGCUUGUGUACUGUUACUACAGUCUCUAAAAUUGAAUGCAAAUGUUGACAGAUCCUGUUUAAAGGAGUUUCAAAAUCACCAUAAAUCAGACAUAAUUAAACAAAAAAUUAACUUAACCUAACUUACAACUGCAAUGCAGAAAAAAUGUACCCACACAUCAUGUAAAUGUCAGACUGUAGGGCUAGGGAAGAAGAAGAAGAAGUCACACAUUAAAAGGAAAACAAAACUAAUGUAAAUAAUACAAAUAUUACAUUCAUCUUUGUUCCAAACUGUUGGCAAGCUUCUCUGCAAAAUCCACUGCAGUUUUUAUAUUCUGUGAACGAAGCUUGUUAUUCAUAUCGUCCUUUUCCUUCUGAUAUUCAUAUGAUUUCUGAAUCACGGUCACCACAAUGAGAUAUAACACGUAAUGAAUGUAACUCAAUCCUGAUCACCAGAACGCCUACAUUAUUUUCCUGUGUCAAGCAACUUUUUGGCUGAAUUACAAAGCCUACAAAAUGAA